rnacentral:ncRNA from 1 species
AAAAAUACGUUGAUCGGAAAAAGUAGAGCUGUGUUAUGCGCGUCAAAGAGAGCCGGGAUGGUGGAAACCGGCACGCAGCAGCAGCUCGAAUGGGUCCGUGAGUGGCAGCUUGAACUCGUUAAGUAGAGCGCCCGGCAUCCGGCCGUUAACCGGUUUUAAGGGGAAGCUGUAUGGCUUCAACGAGAGGUGGCACCGCGGGAAACCGUCCUUCAU